AAAAAUAAAAACCUCACCCAAUCCUCAAGACAACCGUUUCUCCUUCCUCCUUUCUCAAUCCCAGUGUUCCCCGUCAGUUCACCCCAUUUCGCCGGCGUCACUCUCUUGCUUGGCGUCGAGUUCGCCGUUGACGACGAAGCUUUGCCACCGUUUCUCCAGUGUUUCGCAUACGGGGAUACUCAAUAAGAGCAAAUUGGUUGCAAUUGAUAUUGGAAACAGGGGCUACCCUACGAAUAAGAUCUGCUACAUAUACUAUCAUCUACUCCGAGACAUCCAAACCUCACUGAGCACACCAGUGAGAAAGCCAAGGAAGCUAAAGAUAUACAAGUGAGAAAGCUAGUGGAUACAGAACAGAAACUCUUGGAAGCAAAAGGAAAUGCAGAUCAAGUUAUAGUGUUGUGUUUUAAAUUGUAGUAGGAGCAUUUGUUUGUAUUUGUGAAUGUUAUAAAAGCAAGUAUAUGAAUGAAUUAGAUUGGCUGGUUUGUUGACAUUGAAUUCUUGAAAUUAGAUUGUCUGUUUUGGAA